rnacentral:rRNA from 1 species
GACGAACGCUGGCGGCGUACUUAACACAUGCAAGUCGAACGAUGAAGCCCAGCUUGCUGGGUGGAUUAGUGGCGAACGGGUGAGUAACACGUGAGUAACCUGCCCUUAACUCUGGGAUAAGCCUGGGAAACUGGGUCUAAUACCGGAUAGGAGCGUCCACCGCAUGGUGGGUGUUGGAAAGAUUUAUCGGUUUUGGAUGGACUCGCGGCCUAUCAGCUUGUUGGUGAGGUAAUGGCUCACCAAGGCGACGACGGGUAGCCGGCCUGAGAGGGUGACCGGCCACACUGGGACUGAGACACGGCCCAGACUCCUACGGGAGGCAGCAGUGGGGAAUAUUGCACAAUGGGCGCAAGCCUGAUGCAGCGACGCCGCGUGAGGGAUGACGGCCUUCGGGUUGUAAACCUCUUUCAGUAGGGAAGAAGCGAAAGUGACGGUACCUGCAGAAGAAGCACCGGCUAACUACGUG